GACAAAACGCUGGCGGCGUGCCUAACACAUGCAAGUCGAACGGGACACUUGUUUUCGGAUGAGUGUCUAGUGGCGGACGGGUGAGUAACGCGUGAGCAACCUGCCUUUCGGAGGGGGACAACAGUUGGAAACGACUGCUAAUACCGCAUAAUGUAUAAGGGUGGCAUCAUCUUUAUACCAAAGAUUCAUCGCCGAAAGAUGGGCUCGCGUCUGAUUAGCUAGUUGGUAGGGUAACGGCCUACCAAGGCUGCGAUCAGUAGCCGGACUGAGAGGUUGAACGGCCACAUUGGGACUGAGAUACGGCCCAGACUCCUACGGGAGGCAGCAGUGGGGAAUAUUGGGCAAUGGGGGAAACCCUGACCCAGCAACGCCGCGUGAAGGAAGAAGGCUUUCGGGUUGUAAACUUCUUUGACGAGGGAAGAUAAUGACGGUACCUCGAAAACAAGCCACGGCUAACUACGUG
rnacentral:rRNA from 1 species